CAACAACGAUUUUUGGGUCGUU
rnacentral:miRNA from 1 species